rnacentral:rRNA from 1 species
UACGUAGGGGGGCAAGCGUUGUCCGGAUUUAUUGGGCGUAAAGAGCGUGUAGGCGGCCAUACAGGUCCGUUGUGAAAACUGGAGGCUUAACCUCCAGACGUCGAUGGAAACCGUAUGGCUAGAGUCCGGAAGAGGAGAGUGGAAUUCCUGGUGUAGCGGUGAAAUGCGCAGAUAUCAGGAAGAACACCCGUGGCGAAGGCGGCUCUCUGGGGACGGUACUGACGCUGAGACGCGAAAGCGUGGGGAGCGAACAGG